rnacentral:rRNA from 1 species
AUUGAACGCUGGCGGCAGGCCUAACACAUGCCAGUCGAGCGGAUGAAGGGAGCUUGCUCCUGGAUUCAGCGGCGGACGGGUGAGUAAUGCCUAGGAAUCUGCCUGGUAGUGGGGGAUAACGUCCGGAAACGGGCGCUAAUACCGCAUACGUCCUGAGGGAGAAAGUGGGGGAUCUUCGGACCUCACGCUAUCAGAUGAGCCUAGGUCGGAUUAGCUAGUUGGUGGGUUAAAGGCCUACCAAGGCGACGAUCCGUAACUGGUCUGAGAGGAUGACCAGUCACACUGGAACUGAGACACGGUCCAGACUCCUACGGGAGGCAGCAGUGGGGAAUAUUGGACAAUGGGCGAAAGCCUGAUCCAGCCAUGCCGCGUGUGUGAAGAAGGUCUUCGGAUUGUAAAGCACUUUAAGUUGGGAGGAAGGGCAGUAAGUUAAUACCUUGCUGUUUUGACGUUACCAACAGAAUAAGCACCGGCUAACUUCGUG